rnacentral:lncRNA from 1 species
AUUUUUAUGUGUAAUUUUUCUUGGGAAAAAACAUUAUAGCUAGGCGUAAAUUUAAGAUUAGCCCACCAAAUCAUACAUUCAUACUUCUCUAUUCUCAUUUUUCCAAUUGAUUCUAAAAAUGCCCAAGUGAAGAGCCUGAAGCCUCUGCAUUCUACAAGCCAGAAAGAAAACGGUACUGGUGGCGACCUCGUUGUGAGCUUGAGCUAUUAUCAUUUCCGAUUCAUCACGGUUUAUCACUUCAUCUUCGAUCCUUCGCCGUCCACCGCACUACAGAAUUUUUUUGAGGUAUUGAUGUAUUGUCAUUUUAUGCACAAUAACAAAAUGCCGGGUUUUGUAUGAAAUUAUAGGGUUGAAUUUCUAUAAGUAAAAUAGAAACAAGAAACUGAACAUUUUCGAAUUUUCCCAAACUAGUUUCGAGUUGUCGAUUGAAUGGAAAUCAAGAAAUGGAUACAGAAGACUAGAUUUUGUAUAAUAAUUAAUAAAUUAGUGGGAUUGUGAUUGUCAAUUGUGGGAACACGGCAAAGUAAAAGUGUAAAAUUGUACACUAACAGGCCAAGAUUAUAUGCUGAUUUUUGAAUUUUGGAGUUUUCGAAAUAGAGCUUUUUGGAAUUCUUACAUGCUAAAAUCUAAUUAUCUAACUGAGCAUAAUUUUUCUUUGCUUGCAUUUUUGGUUGGUAAGACCCAAAAAGUUUUGAAAUACAAUUUAUUUAGACUCGUGCAUUUUUUUUUUUUUUUUUUAAUCUUGUAGACAAGGUGUUUGUUGAAAUGACAUAUCAUUCUCUUAUUGCUUUUAUGCAUUAUUGUUUUCAUUUUUCAGUUUGAGAAUUGAGAUUGAGAUUCACAUCUACUGGGUUAGCCGAUUAGAUUAUUUAUGGUAUAAAUUUUGAUUAGGCUUAGAAUAAUAGUUUUGUGAGUAUGAUUUUACGUUUUUCAUGUUUUAUUUUUUUUACAUCUAAUUGAAUAUGACUUCAUUCAUUUAUUUCAGUUAAAACUCGAGAGACACAACUUCAGUAGCUAAUGUCGUAAUGAAAUUUUAUGUUGUAUGCUUUAUAAAAAUUUGUGCAAUACAUUUUAAAUUUCAGCCCCCCAACAUGAUGUUUUGGAUCUGCCUCUGAUCACGAAACACUAUUUCCAUCAUCUCCAAGGACAUACUUUGUUCUUCCCACUGUGAACCGCUAUCAAACAACUCUCGCAACUUAAUCCCUGUCUCCCACUAACUCAAUACUCCAACUGCCCCACCUCUACCUCAUGCCUUCACACCAUCCCAGUAGAUGUGAAUCUCAAAAGUCGUUAUCAAAGAACAAUAGUAGAACGCAGAAUUUUGAAGCUUUUCGGAAUUGACCAAGCCCUUAGAAUAGAGAAAUCAGGCAUAUUCCUCCACAUUUAAUUGUUGAGACUUUAGGACACAACUCAUUAACCAGAGAUUUUGGGGAAAUUGGAAGAGAUGUGUUGGGGUAGCAGUCUAUGCUACAGAUUUGGAAACUUACGUGUGCAUCAGCAGCCGCUCGAAUUUAAACCUUGCGAGGUAUAUCAAUUUGUUAUUUGAGAUCUUUACUUUCUAUUUAGGCGUUUGUGGCCCAUCAAAUCUCUUAUGAAAAAUAUCAUGUCAAACCAAUUUUAAUGUGUGAGAGAACUCAUGCAGUUUAAUACAUCUUUCAAUAACUAUCACGGUCAUGUACCUUUACCUAAUCAUUCUUAUUAUCUCUGUUGCACGAACACUUUAACUAUGAUAGUGUGUCCGUGUCUAACAAUCCUCGAACACUUUACCAUGAUCAUAUUUCUUUUUUUUAUAUAUUUUUAACUCAAAUUUAUUAAUAAAUAAUAAAAAGGUACUCAUAUUUAAAAGAUUUCAAAAAAAAAAAAAAAAAAAAAAAACUAAUAACAAGUAUAAAACUAAAUUUAUACAAUAUAAAUGAUAAAUUUUAAUAAUGUAAUUAAUGUGUCGAUGACAUGCCACGUCAAUACUUUUUUGAAAAAUUGUCUGUCGACGUAUUCGACAUGUGUCAUGUUGGACACACAUAUUCUUAUCAGUGCAUUAUAGCCUAUUAUCCUCCAUCUAGAUUACAAUUAUGGGACUUUGAUGGUCUUAUUGGUCUCGAUUCAUUUCUUGAUUGGCUCGAGUCUCUUGACUAGUUUUUUUAUUUUAUCAUGCUCAUAGGGGCAUUUGUCGGAUCCGUUAUGUGUUAUUGGAAGUCAUUUUUGCAUUACAUUGAUAACCUAGAUUAAUGUCCUAUCACUUUGCGGGAUAAGAUGAAAUGAAUUCUAAGUAAUAAAUAUGCCCGGUAUACUAUAAAACUCAAUCGCUAAAUUAAUUCAUUUUGCACUAUAGGCAAGAUACCUUUACUGUUAGUAAGUAUCUAGUCUAUUUCAAAGAGUUAUUGAACAAUUGUCAUGUUUAUAAGUCCUGAAUUUUUCCUGCUGAUAUUCUUGCAUUCCAAUCCCUAGACGAUGCUUACCAAUAGACCACCCAUGGAACUUAUCCUUUCAUCUUCAUCAAAAGUGUCAUAAGCCAGGUCUACCACCCAAAUCCCGAAAGUCACCUUUUGAGUCUAGUUGUGUUGCUCUUGAAGAAGAUAUUGAUGUUUCUAUUGUUGAGUCAAUUGAAUAUUUUGACACCGAGGAUGAGGAAUUAUCUAUAUUGUUGCCACCUAAGUCAAACAGUCCAGCUAUCCUUGAUUAUUGAAGUUGAUCUUGCAUAAUCUAUUGUAUGACUCUAACAUUGACUUUGAUAUGGUUUUACCUCCACUUUGUGAUGCUUCUCGAGUUUCCACGUUAUCCAAUGUCAUUGUUCGUUUAAAAUUUUUUUCCACACAUAUAAAAAAAAAGAUUGAAUUUCUCACUUGAACUUAUUCUAUAUGAUUGGCCAUUGCACUUAAAUGAGGGUUUUGUUUUCAAUAUAGCAGGAUGUUAUCUUAUCGAGAUACAUUUGAGCUCCAUUGUCGCAGACACUUGUUUUUGUAGGCCAUUUUACUUUGCUAGAUCCUUGUGCUCAUUAUGAACAAUCAAUUGAAGAUUUUGUGGAUGAGUUGCAUAUAUUUCGCUUUUUGGAGUUCCAUGUUGCUAUUUGUUCAGAAGCAAUAACUGUAGCCCUUGAUCAUAUCAUAGAUGUUGGGAGGGUUUGCAGCUUUAGGUGUUCUCAAGUAAUCAGUUCAAAUAUUUGAUUCUCAAGAAAGAUCGCCCUCCUUAGCCCGAGUUCAACCUUAGGAUAUGGUUCAAGGCUCGAUAUAGACAAUUGGUCAAAAUAAAAGAUAAACUUCCUCAAAAUAUGAAGUUCCAGUCAACCUCGCCGGAAUCAAGUUUUCUCAGCCGAUGAUAAAUGAUGAUAAAUGA